GAUGAACGCUAGCGGCAGGCUUAAUACAUGCAAGUCGAGGGGCAGCAGGGUGUAGCAAUACAUCGCUGGCGACCGGCAAACGGGUGCGGAACACGUACGCACCCUUCCUUCAAGUGGGGAAUAGCCCAGGGAAACUUGGAUUAAUACCUCGUAACAUGAUGAGAUGGCAUCAUUUUAUAAUUAUAGUUCCGACGCAUGAAGAUGGGCGUGCGCCUGAUUAGGUAGUUGGCUGGGUAACGGCCCACCAAGCCUUCGAUCAGUAACUGGUGUGAGAGCACGACCAGUCACACUGGCACAGAGACACGGGCCCGACUCCUACGGGAGGCAGCAGUAAGGAAUAUUGGUCAAUGGACGCAAGUCUGAACCAGCCAUGCCGCGUGGAGGAUGAAGGUCCUCUGGAUUGUAAACUUCUUUUAUCUGGGAAGAAAUCCAUAUUUUCUAAUGUGGUUGACGGUACCAGAUGAAUAAGCACCGGCUAACUCCGUGCCAGCCGCCGCAGUAAAAC
rnacentral:rRNA from 1 species